AGUGAACGCUGGCGGUAUGCUUAACACAUGCAAGUCGAACGGUGGCGGAGGAGCUUGUUGUGCUGACGGAGUGGCGAACGGGUGCGUAACACGUAAGCAAUCUGAUCUUGACUUUGGGAUAGGCGCUGGUAACGAAGCCUACUCCUGGACCCGAGAUGAGAUGGCAUCUUAAGCAGCUGGUCAGCGUAUCGGGCAGGGAUGAGUUCGCGGCCUAUCGACUAGUUGGUGGGGGAAUGGCUCACCCAGGCAUGGGCGGAUAGCCGGCCUGGGAGGGUGACCGGCCACACGGGGACUGAGACAGGGAGCAGAGGCCUACGUGAGGCAGCAGGGGGGAAUAUUGCACAAUGGUCGAGAGCCGGAGGCAGAAACGCCGCGUGUGGGACGACGUCUUGUGGGGUAUAAACCGCUGUUGGCAGGGAAGAAGCUGAAGUGACGGUACCUACAGAAAAAGCGCCGGCUAACUACGUG
rnacentral:rRNA from 1 species